UACAGAGGUGGCAAGCGUUGUUCGGAAUUACUGGGCGUAAAGGGCGCGUAGGCGGUCUUGCAAGUCCCGUGUGAAAUCCCUCGGCUCAACUGAGGAACUGCACGGGAAACUGCUUGGCUUGAGUUCGGGAGAGGGAAGCGGAAUUCCGGGUGUAGCGGUGAAAUGCGUAGAUAUCCGGAGGAACACCGGUGGCGAAGGCGGCUUCCUGGACCGAUUACUGACGCUGAGGCGCGAAAGCUAGGGGAGCAAACGGG
rnacentral:rRNA from 1 species